GACGAACGCUGGCGGCGUGCUUUAUACAUGCAAGUCGAACGAUGAAGUUCCUUCGGGAAUGGAUUAGUGGCGAACGGGUGAGGAACACGUGAGAAACCUGCCUUCCAUUCUGGGAUAACACCGGGAAACCGGUGCUAAUACCGGGUACUCCGUCUUGGCGGCAUCGCCGAGCCGGGAAAAAAUUUUGAUGAAAGAUGGUCUCGCGGCCUAUCAGCUAGUUGGUGAGGUAAAGGCUCACCAAGGCGACGACGGGUAGCCGGCCUGAGAGGGCGACCGGCCACACUGGGACUGAGACACGGCCCAGACUCCGACGGGAGGCAGCAGUAGGGAAUAUUGGGCAAUGGGCGCAAGCCUGACCCAGCGACGCCGCGUGAGGGAUGAAGGUCUUCGGAUUGUAAACCUCUUUCAGUAGGGAAGAAGCGAAAGUGACGGUACCUAAAGAAGAAGCACCGGCUAACUAUGUGCCAGCAGCCGCGGUAA
rnacentral:rRNA from 1 species